CCUCAGUGUCCGGAGAGAGUAAAUGUCCAACAGCAGCUCCUUCAAGGAGUUCCUCCUCCUGCCAUUCACAGACAGGCGGGAGCUGCAGCUUUUGCUCUUCUCGCUCUUCCUGGGCAUCUACCCG